rnacentral:lncRNA from 1 species
UUCCGAAAACAAUAGUGUUCUCUAACAUAAAGGGAUCUCCUUUCCAUAUUUCUUUCUUCUUUCUGUAUUUCUAUUUUCUUGUUCGUGGGUUUGGAUUUUGGACUGCGAAGUUGAAGAAGUGAGAAAAAGGGCACUUUGGGAUGUUACAAAAUGAUGGUUCAAAAAUUCCGAGUGUACAGAAUUUUAAGUGUACAGAAUGUGUACUGAUCUCGUAAAAUGAAUGGGCCACACAUGAAUAUCUUAUUGCCAAAAAAUCUGAUGCGAGUAUUCUGUAAGUAUACUUAAAUCUGUACUUGUAGAAUAACUCACGAUGGUUUUAGUAUGUGAUUUUGUAGAACAUAAUUAUUCUCUCAGCUUUUUGAUCUCGGAGUUACUGUUCUUGGUUUCGCCACCGACUUGAUUUUCUCUUGUUUUCAAGGUCUUUAUUGUUCUGCAUCUUCAUUGCUCGCCUAGAGCAAGGUGAGGUAUGUCUUGAUUCUACUUUUUCCCUCUUUAUUUUUGGCUCAAGUGAUUGAAUUUCAAGAAUGUAUUUUGUUGGUAUAGUGGGGUUUGGGAUUUUCUCGUGUUCAAUUAGGGUGAAUGCAAUUGUUCAGAAACAUGGUUUGUCAUUGUGCAGCCCAUUUAUGAAAAUUAUGUACAUAGAGUGUCUUGGAUGAAAAGUAACAGGUAAACCCAACCAGCAUUUUACAGGUUUGUUGAAAUCUAAAUUUAAUUAAAUAAUUGUGUUGACUUUGAGCAUGUUGUUUGUAUGGUAAUUUUUUGGUUGUUGAAUUGAAUCAAGGUCCUUGGACUUUAAUUGGUGCGAUCAAGUUAUUGAACUUUAAUUUAAGUGCAAAUAUAGUCACUCUUUUAGCAUCCGUAAUCAAUUUAACGUUUUUUCGUUAACGUGUAACUUCAAAAACCACACUCAUGAUAUGUCACUCUUUAAAAUGCAAUUUUGUGGGAUUGAUCUUUUAUGUUUUUUCUCCUUAUAUUGAUACUUUAAAAAGAAUUACUUACAUCUUAUUAAUAUGAAUCUCUUUUGCCUCUUACAAACUUCAUCCAUAUUUGACUAAUGUUUAUAAAUUAUUGAUAAUCCAU